CCUCCACAGCCGCCAUCGCCACCACCACCACCCACCCACCCGUCAACCUUCCCUCCACCCCACCCACUCCCGCACCACCAUGUCCCGCACCAAGGAGACCGCCCGCGCGAAGCGCACCAUCACGUCGAAGAAGAGCAAGAAGGCGCCGAGCGCGGCGUCCGGCGUGAAGAAGUCGCACCGCCGCUGGCGCCCGGGCACCUGCGCGAUCCGCGAGAUCCGCAAGUUCCAGAAGAGUACGAGCCUGCUGAUCCAGUGCGCGCCGUUCCAGCGCCUGGUGCGCGAGGUGUCGAGCGCGCAGAAGGAGGGUCUGCGCUUCCAGAGCAGCGCUAUCAUGGCGCUGCAGGAGGCGACGGAGGCGUACGUUGUGUCGCUGAUGGCGGACACGAACCUCGCCUGCAUCCACGCGAAGCGCGUGACGAUCCAGCCGAAGGACAUCCAGCUGGCGAUGCGCCUGCGCGGUGAGCGCCACUAGAGAGCUAGGCGGACUCUAGCUCACUCCCUAUCUCUCCUGUGUCGCUGGUGCGCUGCAACGGUGGUGAAAACAGGAUGAAGGGCGCAGGAUGCGAGAGAGAGUGAGAGGAGACUUCGAAUGGCCGUUCUUUUUUUCUUUUGUGAUCCUCGCCAGAGUCCCCCUCUCCACCUGCGCACGCACCCGCACACACGCAUGCACCUCAUGCGUAUCAUAGAUGCCUUUCCUUUUUCCUUUGCUUUUGUGAGUAUAUCUUUUCUCGUGUUACUUCUCGCCUCGCAUGGGCUUGCUCUGUUCGCCGGCAUCACCCCUACUCGCUCACGCCAGCACCACCCUCGCACGCGGACGCCAUCGUGCCUCUGUCUUGGUCUCUCUCUUUGGCAUCUCGCUUCCUCGUGGUCUCCGGGGCGUGGAAAAUGCGGCGCGUGUUGCCUGCUCGCCGUCCUCACGCCCGUCUUGCUUCUGCUCGGCAAAGGAGGCCUCGAAGAAACGUGGCGGCAAGGUGCGGGGUGCGGGCCUCGAUGCAGGCUUGGCGAUGUCUGCACACUCAUCUGCACAGGUAAAUCGACAGCAACGAUGGCAGUGCGAGAGAAGAGCGGCUGAGUGGCGAGCGGUGAUGUAGUCUUGUGCGGAAUAGCGCAGGCCUCUUUGUGGACUUGUGAAAGCAAGAGAGAG
rnacentral:misc_RNA from 1 species